rnacentral:sRNA from 1 species
CCUUAGCCCUGAUAGCAGCGGUUACCCCGCAGCAGAAAGUGGAUUCAGCCAGGUGCGAGGAGUAUGAGCGGAUAGCAGGAUGAAGC